AUAGACUAACACCUUCCAAAGUAGGAUCAUUUCUAUAGUUUACGUCCCUCUUUGACUCUUCUAAAGAGCCACUGAAUCCAACUUGGUUGAUGAGCCGUAUACCUUUGUGCCCUAGAGUGAGAAAUACAAUUUAGCUUGUCUAUAACCCUUAGCGGUUUAGUCAUCUAUUUUAAUUUUGCCUUUUGUUACAAAGGAACUCGUCCUUAUGGACUUGAUGCCUUUAUAAAGGAGCGAUGAUCUUGACCCUGUUUAUGAACUUUUUCGGAAGGGAUAAAUAUGGGUGGGUGCAAAUGGCAGUCUGACAAGU
rnacentral:snoRNA from 16 species